AUUUUAUGGUAUCUUCAAAAUUGGGAAAAAUAAAAUUUCAUCCAAUUUUUGUAAAAAAAAAAGGAAAUAAAUAUGAUAGCAACAAGAUGGUUUAGGAAUUUGGGUGCUGGCAAGUUAAAUAAUUAUUAAAUAGCUUUGUGGCAAAUCAUUGCAAUAGACUGGAUUUUUUUUGUAGUUGGUAAUUUCUUAAUGAAAAAUGGAUAUAUUAUAUAUAUUGUCAGAAAAUUAUGUGUGUUGAUAUGAAUAGGUUCUUUAAGUAAGAAACAUGAUAUCUCGGAGGGAAUAAAAACAACAGAUUUCAAGUUGUGUGUGUAUAUGUUUUUGAAUUGAUCAUUCUGAAUUUUUAACUUGAGAUAAUUUGAAGCAACACAUGAAUUUGAUGUGAAAAAUAUAGAUAGAAAAUUUUAUUCUUUCACUGAUGGAAAAAAAAAAUUGAACUGUGAUUGUUGCAUCCAACAUACAUACAUCCAGACACACUCAAAAAUUAAACAUUUGAAGUCUGUAAUAAUGACAAAGAGCACUAUGCAAGGUUUAAAAUGUUCGUAUUACCAUAGAGACACAAUAUAUAUGUAUAUAUAUAUAUAUAUAUAUAUAUAUGAGAAUACAGUAUAAAGAUCUCUGUAACAAGCAACAUUGUGCUCUUAUCUUCUUCUUCUUUUGUGUAUGUAUACAUUGUAUAGUCCAAAAUAUGUUAUAAUUGCAUGUUGAAUUAUAACAUAUUUUGGAUUAUACAAUGAAUUUAUAUUAAUUAUUUGUGAUCCAACUUCUGAGUUUUUAUUGACUUGUUUGUGCCUACAAGAAAUAGAAGUGUACAAUGGCAGUAGAAUAACAUGCAAAAUAUCUUCAACAAGUUGGGAUUUAAAAUAGGUACAGACUCCAUUAUGUAAUCAACUUAAAUUCAUAAUGUUAAAGUAAUAUGUUUUCAUGAUAUAUAAUGCAAACAACUGCAAAAAGCAAAAGAUUGUAGGUACUGAUAGUUGUUGAUUAAUAAUUUUAUUAAAUGAGUAUUAGACAUGAGAAUAGUAUAAGAUAGAAAAAAUAUUAGAUUAAAAUGUGAUCCAUAAAAUUAUCAUCUAUUAAUCAUCGUUGAAAAUAAAAUUAUCCUCAUUAUGUAUAUGUUUUAAUAAUUAAUUAUAAUUUCUUACAUCUUUGGCUUUGGUAAUACCGUAUUGUGUGUAUAUAUAAAUAUAUAUAUAUAUAUAUAUAUACACACACACUAUUUUUAAAAGAAUAAUCUCAUCUCUAAUAAUUUUAUUCUUUAACAUGAUAUCAUUGCAUUAAAGAGAAAUGAUCUAAUUUAGUGAGUAAUCAUAUGUUCUUGUGAAGAGUAAUGAUUUGAAUAAGAUGAAAUACAUAUUAAUAUUGUUCUCUAGGUUUUUUUCUCCAUAUGUUCACUGCAAUCCCUUUGUACCAAAUGAGUCCUAUCAGAGUUUAAUCUUGUCCCAUAAUGUUUUCCAUGUUUGAAUGGGAUUUAGAUGUAUAUAAUUGUAUACAAAUUAUCUCCUUCUUUUGCCUAAUAUACCCCUAGAGAACAAUUCUCUCUCUCUCUCUUGUAGAGGUAAAACUUAAGGUUAUCCAAAGUGUCACAAAAGACAAGUAAUAUGCUUUUGUUGCACUGAAUUUGUUGCCAUUUCACCACCCUACAUAGUGGCUUACACAAGGCACUAUGUAUCAUGUGAGUUCAAACCUAUGUUGCUCAUACAAGGAUACACAAAUUAUUAUAAUAACAAUAAUAAUAAUCGUAAUAAUCAUCAUUCAAUGGGCCUUGCCAUGGUUGCAAUCCAAUCUUCAAAUCUGAUGAAGAAUUUGGGUAACAGAUUUUUUUUUUUUUUUUUUUUUUCUUAGUGCAGCCAACCUCAAUUUCUUUGCACCUUUAAUCUUCAUUACCAACCAAAUCCAUUUGAACAAUUAGUUUAUUUUUUAUAUAUAUUUUCUAAGUACCCAUAUGUGUAUGUAUGUAUAUAUAUAUAUAUAUAUAUAUAUGAACCAAGAUAUAAUGUUGUUGUUUCUCCAUGAUAAGCAGCAGCAGCCACCACUGCCACUAAAGUCAAAUUGACCCCAAGUGAAAACCAAGAUUGAAAUAUGUUAUAAUUGCAUGUUGAAUUAUGUUGAAUUAAUGGCUCUGCUACUUAUUGUGCUGUUGCAAAGAGUUUGUGAUCCUUGUUUGCAUUCAUCACGUGGCUAAUUUUAUUUAGUUUUCUUUCAGAAUUUGAGGAGGAAAAAUGGAUUAAAAAAUACGGAAAGGUGUGUUGUAGCAGAUACAAGACAUAGACGAUUCAAAUAAGUUUUUUGUUACUUUUGAUUUGGUGGUAAUGUUCAAUUAUGUUCUUUUGAAUUUUUGAACUUAAAAAUUGAACUUGGAUUCCAAGAUAAAUUUGGUGACAAACAUCUGUAAACAUUUUUUUCUUUGGAAUAGCACUCCCUUUUUGUUUCUUUUGUUCUCUUCAUUUAAUAAUUGGUUUAAAACAAAACAUUUUAAGACAUAUUUAAGGUCUAGUUUUGACCAUUUGUGUCAUUUAAUUGAUUAGAAUUUAUUUUUUCCUAGUCCAAUUCACAUUUUAAAAUUUUAAUAUUAACUAAACAUAAACUUGUGAAUAAAUAACUUCUAUUAUUCUGUGUACAGUAUAUCAGGAGGCUAUUUCAUUUCAAUGGGUAUUCAUUGGUUGCAAAUGUGCCAUGGAGGAACACAUUCAUACAAUUGAAACAACUCAACAUAUAUACAAAACAUUUAAUUAAGUUUACACUAUUGUGGUGACAAUGAAUUUUAGGUACCACACAUUGAAAACCAUUCAUAUUCCAUCUAAUUAUAGUUAGAUCCCAUGAAAGUCAACAAACCCUCUCCUGGACAAUAACAACCAAUUCAUGUUAAUAACAACCA
rnacentral:lncRNA from 1 species